AAUUGAAAUAUUUAUUGUUUUUAAUAAUUUAAUAAUAUUAAAAUAAAUAAAUUAUAUUUUAUUAAAAUUUUGAAAAGAGGAUUUUUUAUUAUAGUUAAUUAGUAUUGUGAAAGAAAAAAUUAAAUUUUUUAAGAAAAAUUUAUUUUUUGUACCUUGUGUAUCAGGGUUAAUUAAUUAUUAAUUAAUUAUUUAAUUAUCUCGAAUUUAGAAGAGUUAAUUAUAUAUUUAUUUUAUUGUAGAAUAAAUAUUUUAAAUAUAUAAUUGGUAAUGAAAUGUUAUUCGUUUCUAAAUAUAUCUAGUUUUUUAAGAAAUUAAUUUAAUUUUUUAUUUAUGAAUAAUUUAUUUAAGUUUUAAUAAUUUAUUAAUAAAUAUUAAAAAUUUAAGGGAUGAGCUUUAAAUUUUAAAUUUAUAAAUUUAUGUAUUUUUUUAAAUUUAUAGGAUUAAAAAUUUUCAUUAAUAAGAAUUUGUUAUAUUUGAUUUAAUUUAUUUAUUUAUUUAUAUAAAUUUUAAAUUUUUUAUUAAAAUAAUAAUUUUAAUUUUUUAUAUUAAGGAAUAAUGAUUAAAUUAGUAUAAAAAAAAGUAUAAAUAAUAAUUUAAUAUCGGUAUUAUUAAAGGAAUUCGGCAAAUAAUUUUUUUACCUGUUUAUUAAAAACAUGGCUUAUUGUUAAUAAUUUUAAGUCUAGCCUGCCCACUGAAAUUUUGAAGGGCCGCGGUAUUUUGACCGUGCAAAGGUAGCAUAAUCAUUAGUUUUUUAAUUGAAAGCUGGUAUGAAUGGUUGAAUAAAAAAAAAACUGUCUCUAAUAUAAAAUUUGAAUUUUAUUUUUAAGUUAAAAAGCUUAAAUUGAGUUAAAAGACGAGAAGACCCUAUAGAGUUUUAUUUUUAUAUUAUAAAAUUAUUUUAGUUUUAAUUUAAAUUUUAAUAUUAUGAAAAUUUGAUUGGGGUGAUUAAAAAAUUUAUUAAACUUUUUUUUAUUAAAAACAAUAAUAAUUGAAUUUUUGAUCCAUUAGAAUUGAUUAAAAGAUUAAAUUACCUUAGGGAUAACAGCGUAAUUUCUUUAGAGAGUUCAAAUUGAAAAAGAAGAUUGCGACCUCGAUGUUGGAUUAAAAUUAAUUAUUGGUGCAGAAGCUAAAUAAAUUAAGUCUGUUCGACUUUAAAAAUUUUACAUGAUCUGAGUUUAAACCGGUGUGAGCCAGGUUGGUUUCUAUCUUUAAUUUGUUAAAAUAUUUUAGUACGAAAGGACCAAAUAUUUAAAUUAAUAUUUUUAAAUUUGAUUAAAAUU
rnacentral:rRNA from 1 species